UACGUAGGGGGCAAGCGUUGUCCGGAUUUAUUGGGCGUAAAGAGCGUGUAGGCGGCCGUACAGGUCAGCUGUGAAAACUCGAGGCUCAACCUCGAGACGUCGGUUGAAACCGUACGGCUAGAGUCCGGAAGAGGAGAGUGGAAUUCCCGGUGUAGCGGUGAAAUGCGCAGAUAUCGGGAAGAACACCCGUGGCGAAGGCGGCUCUCUGGGACGGUACUGACGCUGAGGUGCGAAAGCCAGGGGAGCAAACGGG
rnacentral:rRNA from 1 species